GAUGAAGAACGCAGCGAAAUGCGAUAAGUAAUGUGAAUGGCAGAAUUCAGUGAAUCAUCGAAUCUUUGAACGCACAUUGCGCCCGCUAGUAUUCUGGCGGGCAUGCCUGUCCGAGCGUCAUUUCAACCCUCAAGCCCCCGGGCUUGGUGUUGGGGAUCGGCGAGCCUCCGCGCCCGCCGUCCCCUAAAUCUAGUGGCGGUCUCGCUGUAGCUUCCUCUGCGUAGUAGCACACCUCGCACUGGGAAACAGCGCGGCCACGCCGUUAAACCCCCAACUUCUGAACGUUUGACCUCGGAUCAGGUAGGAAUACCCGCUGAACUUAAGCAUAUCAAUAAGCGGAGGA
rnacentral:misc_RNA from 1 species